rnacentral:lncRNA from 1 species
UCAUGGUUUGAUCCCAGCUGGCAGCCAAGCCCCACAUGGCUAGUCGCUCACUCCCCCACUAGUGGGAUGGAGAAUUGGAAGGGUAAAAGGGAUAAAAAUACAUGUGUUGAGCUAAAGACAGUUUAAUAGGGAAGGAAAAAGCCAUAGAUGGAAACAAAGGCAGGAGCUCAGCCAUCCCCAGGAGAGCAGGGCUCUGUCACUCGUAGUGGUGACUCAGGAAGGCAAACACGUUUCAAUGUGAAUGUUCCCCCUUCCUCCCCCUCCCACCACUUUUACAUGCCCAACAUGGCACUGUCUGCUGUGGGGUAUCCCUGAGGUCACCUGUCCUGGCUGUGUCCCCUCCCACCUCCUUGUGCUCCCACUCACUGCUGGGGUGGGGUGAGAGGCAGAAAAGGCCUUGGCUCUGUGCAGGCUCUGCCCUGCACUAAGGAAAACAUCCCUGCAUUAUCAGCACUGCUCCCAGCACAAAUCCCAGCCACUGCCCCAUGCUAGCUACUGUGAAGAAAAUGAACUUUAUUCCAGCCAAAACCAGCACAUUUCCUUUCCAGCAGGAAGUUGUUUCAGGCAGCAGUGGUUUUGGGAGGCCAAGGCAGGCUUUGGCAAGGUGAGUUUGUGUUCAGAGUGGUGUGUGCUGUGUCUGACAGGCUGCACUGCAGGCCAGGUGACAGCAAAGUGUGUUCCUUUGGCUUCUUUCUAGGUGGAAAGGUGUGCUCUGCUGAGUGUGCUUGCAGGAAGCUGGGAGGUGGCACCAAGCUCUAAAUCCUUAAGAAGCAGCAGGAGCCAUCAGCUGAGAUCCAGGAAUGUCACAAAUGGUCCCUCAGCAGAGCCUCUGACACAGGGACAGCAGGAAGGAGUGGUGGAGGAGUCCUUGGCCUCGAGCUCUGCAGGUUACAGCUCACAGGUUCCUAGGUUUCAGCCAUGCAGCUUUCCUGCUCUGUGGCUACUGGCAUCAACCCUGCCUCACACUGAAGUCCCUGGUGUGUUAUCCACAGUGUCCAGUCCCUCUGAAAGUGUCUUUCCUAGUGGCUGUGCCAACAGUGAGUGACAAAGCUUCUUGGAGUAUUUAGAGCAAAAUCAUUGCCAUAAGGUCAGUCUUCCAGUAAAAAAAAAAAAAAAAAAAAAAAAA